rnacentral:rRNA from 1 species
UACGUAGGGUGCAAGCGUUAAUCGGAAUUACUGGGCGUAAAGCGUGCGCAGGCGGCUUUGCAAGACAGAUGUGAAAUCCCCGGGCUCAACCUGGGAACUGCAUUUGUGACUGCAAGGCUAGAGUACGGUAGAGGGGGAUGGAAUUCCGCGUGUAGCAGUGAAAUGCGUAGAUAUGCGGAGGAACACCAGUGGCAAAAGCGGCUUCCUGGUCCAGCACCGACGUUCAGGCACGAAAGCGUGGGGAGCAAACAGG